rnacentral:rRNA from 1 species
UACGGAGGGUGCGAGCGUUAAUCGGAAUUACUGGGCGUAAAGCGCGCGUAGGCGGUUUGUUAAGUCAGCUGUGAAAGCCCCGGGCUCAACCUGGGAACUGCAGUUGAUACUGGCCGACUGGAGUGCGAGAGAGGGAGGUAGAAUUCCAUGUGCAGCGGUGAAAUGCGUAGAUAUAUGGAGGAAUACCGGUGGCGAAGGCGGCCUCCUGGCUCGACACUGACGCUGAGGUGCGAAAGCGUGGGGAUCAAACAGG